UACGGGGGGGGCAAGCGUUGUUCGGAAUUACUGGGCGUAAAGCGCACGUAGGCGGGUCGUUAAGUCAGGGGUGAAAUCCCAGAGCUCAACUCUGGAACUGCCUUUGAUACUGGCGACCUAGAGUUCGGAAGAGGUUAGUGGAAUUCCCAGUGUAGAGGUGAAAUUCGUAGAUAUUGGGAAGAACACCAGUGGCGAAGGCGGCUAACUGGUCCGAUACUGACGCUGAGGUGCGAAAGCGUGGGGAGCAAACAGG
rnacentral:rRNA from 1 species